rnacentral:other from 1 species
CAUAGACGGUAAUCAUUGUUCAGCCAACAGUAUGACUUUGGAAGCCAGAUUGAGAGUGUGGUGAGCAAGCUUAGCCUGAACUAAGAAGCCAAAAACACUCCUGAGGAAUCCACCUUUUAUUUUAGGACUGUUCUCAAUCUUGCUGUCUAUAU